GAUGAACGCUGGCGGCGUGCCUAAUACAUGCAAGUUGAGCGCUGAAGGUUGGUACUUGUACCGACUGGAUGAGCAGCGGACGGGUGAGUAACGCGUGGGUAACCUGCCUUUGAGCGGGGGACAACAUUUGGAAACGAAUGCUAAUACCGCAUAAUAACUUUAAACACAAGGUUUAAGAUUGAAAGAUGCAAUUGCAUCACCCAAAGAUGAUCUCGCGUCGCAUUAGCUAGUUGGUGAGGUAAAGGCUUACCAAGGCAACGAUGCAUAGCCGAACUGAGAGGGUGAUCGGCCACACUGGAACUGAGACACGGUACAGACUCCUACGGGAGGCAGCAGUAGGGAAUCUUACGCAAUGGGCGAAAGCUUGACGGAGCAACGCCGCGUGAGUGAUGAAGGUCUUCGGAUCGUAAAACUCUGUGAUUAGGGAAGAACAAAUGUGUAAGUAACUAUGCACGUCUGGACGGUACCUAAUCAGAAAGCCACGGCUAACUACGUG
rnacentral:rRNA from 1 species